rnacentral:rRNA from 1 species
CGCCUGCACUUUGGGAUAAGCCUGGGAAACUGGGUCUAAUACCGGAUAGGACCAUGUCUUGGAUGGUGUGGUGGAAAGUUUUUUCGGUGUGGGAUGAGCUCGCGGCCUAUCAGCUUGUUGGUGGGGUAAUGGCCUACAAAGGCGUCGACGGGUAGCCGGCCUGAGAGGGUGUACGGCCACAUUGGGACUGAGAUACGGCCCAG